GUGCACACCAGUAGACCUUAUCUGGUUGCUCUAAUCGCCAGACGAGGGGGAUGGUGCAUGCUAUAAAAUCUGGGGGGUGCUGUAGGCUGUCGUCAGCCUCGUCGUGGCUGAUGGAACUGCAAUACUCCAACAUAC
rfam:Podiceps cristatus contig11776, whole genome shotgun sequence.